rnacentral:rRNA from 1 species
CCUGAAACCGUGUACGUACAAGCAGUGGGAGCACCCUUCGGGGUGUGACUGCGUACCUUUUGUAUAAUGGGUCAGCGACUUAUAUUCUGUAGCAAGGUUAACCGUAUAGGGGAGCCGGAGGGAAACCGAGUCUUAAUUGGGCGUUAAGUUGCAGGGUAUAGACCCGAAACCCGGUGAUCUAGCCAUGGGCAGGUUGAAGGUUGGGUAACACUAACUGGAGGACCGAACCGACUAAUGUUGAAAAAUUAGCGGAUGACCUGUGGCUGGGGGUGAAAGGCCAAUCAAACCGGGAGAUAGCUGGUUCUCCCCGAAAGCUAUUUAGGUAGCGCCUCGUGAAUUCAUCUCCGGGGGUAGAGCACUGUUUCGGCUAGGGGGCCAUCCCGGCUUACCAACCCGAUGCAAACUGCGAAUACCGGAGAAUGUUAUCACGGGAGACACACGGCGGGUGCUAACGUCCGUCGUGAAGAGGGAAACAACCCAGACCGCCAGCUAAGGUCCCAAAGUCAUGGUUAAGUGGGAAACGAUGUGGGAAGGCCCAGACAGCCAGGAUGUUGGCUUAGAAGCAGCCAUCAUUUAAAGAAAGCGUAAUAGCUCACUGGUCGAGUCGGCCUGCGCGGAAGAUGUAACGGGGCUAAACCAUGCACCGAAGCUGCGGCAGCGAACGUAUCACCCAAGACAACUUUACGGAGUUGACGAUUGACGGAGCGAAGCGACGUCAAAGCGUUCAUUAAAGUCGAGUUGGCUUAGGGAUACGUUCGUUGGGUAGGGGAGCGUUCUGUAAGCCUGUGAAGGUGUGUCGUGAGGCAUGCUGGAGGUAUCAGAAGUGCGAAUGCUGACAUAAGUAACGAUAAAGCGGGUGAAAAGCCCGCUCGCCGGAAGACCAAGGGUUCCUGUCCAACGUUAAUCGGGGCAGGGUGAGUCGACCCCUAAGGCGAGGCCGAAAGGCGUAGUCGAUGGGAAACGGGUUAAUAUUCCCGUACUUGGUGUUACUGCGAAGGGGGGACGGAGAAGGCUAUGUUGGCCGGGCGACGGUUGUCCCGGUUUAAGCGUGUAGGUGUGUGUUCCAGGUAAAUCCGGUUCACUUUAACACUGAGGCGUGACGACGAGGCACUACGGUGCUGAAGCAACAAAUGCCCUGCUUCCAGGAAAAGCCUCUAAGCAUCAGGUAACAUCAAAUCGUACCCCAAACCGACACAGGUGGUCAGGUAGAGAAUACCAAGGCGCUUGAGAGAACUCGGGUGAAGGAACUAGGCAAAAUGGUGCCGUAACUUCGGGAGAAGGCACGCUGACACGUAGGUGAAGUGAUUUACUCAUGGAGCUGAAGUCAGUCGAAGAUACCAGCUGGCUGCAACUGUUUAUUAAAAACACAGCACUGUGCAAACACGAAAGUGGACGUAUACGGUGUGACGCCUGCCCGGUGCCGGAAGGUUAAUUGAUGGGGUCAGCGCAAGCGAAGCUCCUGAUCGAAGCCCCGGUAAACGGCGGCCGUAACUAUAACGGUCCUAAGGUAGCGAAAUUCCUUGUCGGGUAAGUUCCGACCUGCACGAAUGGCGUAAUGAUGGCCAGGCUGUCUCCACCCGAGACUCAGUGAAAUUGAACUCGCUGUGAAGAUGCAGUGUACCCGCGGCAAGACGGAAAGACCCCGUGAACCUUUACUAUAGCUUGACACUGAACAUUGAGCCUUGAUGUGUAGGAUAGGUGGGAGGCUUUGAAGUGUGGACGCCAGUCUGCAUGGAGCCGACCUUGAAAUACCACCCUUUAAUGUUUGAUGUUCUAACGUGGACCCGUAAUCCGGGUUGCGGACAGUGUCUGGUGGGUAGUUUGACUGGGGCGGUCUCCUCCUAAAGAGUAACGGAGGAGCACGAAGGUUGGCUAAUCCUGGUCGGACAUCAGGAGGUUAGUGCAAUGGCAUAAGCCAGCUUGACUGCGAGCGUGACGGCGCGAGCAGGUGCGAAAGCAGGUCAUAGUGAUCCGGUGGUUCUGAAUGGAAGGGCCAUCGCUCAACGGAUAAAAGGUACUCCGGGGAUAACAGGCUGAUACCGCCCAAGAGUUCAUAUCGACGGCGGUGUUUGGCACCUCGAUGUCGGCUCAUCACAUCCUGGGGCUGAAGUAGGUCCCAAGGGUAUGGCUGUUCGCCAUUUAAAGUGGUACGCGAGCUGGGUUUAGAACGUCGUGAGACAGUUCGGUCCCUAUCUGCCGUGGGCGCUGGAGAACUGAGGGGGGCUGCUCCUAGUACGAGAGGACCGGAGUGGACGCAUCACUGGUGUUCGGGUUGUCAUGCCAAUGGCACUGCCCGGUAGCUAAAUGCGGAAGAGAUAAGUGCUGAAAGCAUCUAAGCACGAAACUUGCCCCGAGAUGAGUUCUCCCUGAGACUUAGAGUCUCCUGAAGGAACGUUGAAGACGACGACGUUGAUAGGCCGGGUGUGUAAGCGCAGCGAUGCGUUGAGCUAACCGGUACUAAUGAACCGUGAGGCUUAACCUUACA